CUUCUCCACACUCCCCGUGCCCCCCCCCCAAUACAUUUUUGGGGAUGCCUCUCGGGCCUCCUUGAUCGCCGUGCAAACUCCAUUCGCCGGUAUCUCUCCUCACAUUGUUCCAGAGAAUCCCAGGCGGGCUCCGACAUUCUCCCUGGGUCAACCGACCACCUCUCUAUUUCGUCCCAUGUUGUAAUAUAGUCCAGAUAGUCCUUUGGUGGUGGGUGGUUUUGUUACGGCUGUCUUGGGAAGAAGGUGAGGACCAAAGUGCAGGGUGAUGACCAGGAGGAGGAGAGGUUCUGUCUCUGACUCACAGACAGCCAGGAGGAGAGGUUCUGUCUCUGACUCACAGACAGCCAGGAGGAGAGGUUCUGUCUCUGACUCACAGACAGCCAGGAGGAGAGGUUCUGUCUCUGACUCACAGACAGCCAGGAGGAGAGGUUCUGUCUCUGACUCACAGAUGACCAGGAGGAGGAGAGGUUCUGUCUCUGACUCACGGACAGCCAGGAGGAGAGGUUCUCUGAUUUUUUCCAGACAAUUUCAGUCAAAAGAACAUAUCUUUCAAUGCAUUUUGUUCAUUUGAUGCCCCCCUACUGGUGAACGUUGAACUGAAGACUUGAAAGAGUCAGGAUUCAAGAAACCUCUGGUUCUAAUGUCGUUCACCAUGGGGAGCUUAUUCAUUGGAGUGAUCAUUUGUGACUCAGCCUUGUGUAAUGUGUGCUUUUAAACAAUUUACAAUUUGUUGAUUGCUAGGCACACAAAUACAAUUAUUUCUUGAUACAUUUGAAACCAGAUCUAGUUCAGGCCACAACCGAACUAGAUCAUGAACAACUUUAGGCGAAUGUCACGCCCUGACCUUCGAGAUCCUUUUUAUGUCUCUAUUUUGGUUUUGGUCAGGGUGUGAGUUGGGGUGGGCAUUCUAUGUUUUGUGUUUCUAUGAUUUUCUAUUUCUAUGUUUUGGCCCGGUAUGGUUCUCAAUCAGGGACAGCUGUCUAUUGUUGUCUCUGAUUGGGAACCAUACUUAGGUACCCUUUUUUCCCACCUGUGUUUGUGUGAAGUUGACUUUCUUAAUGGCACUUAGCCUUAAGCGUCACUGUUUUGUAGUGUGUGUUGUUUUGUUCGGCGUCUUUUCUUAAUUAAAGAUCAUGUACGCUCACCACGCUCCACCUUGGUCCAGUUCCUUCAACAGCCAUGACAGCGAAAUGCAGUAUGAUAAGCAACAAUAUCAACAAACAUGACUCAGUUACAUCAGCUCUGUCUGGAGGAAUGGGCCAAAAUUCACCCAACUUAUUGUGGGAAGCUUGUGGGAGGCUACCCGAAACGUUUGACCCAAGUUAAACAAUUUAAAGGCAAUGCUACUAAAUACUAAUUGAGUGUAUGUACACUUCUGACCCACUGGGAAUGUGAUGAAAUAAAUAAAAGCUGAAAUAAAUCA